rnacentral:lncRNA from 1 species
AUGGAUUUAAAUGUAAGCAGGUCUAAAAAGAAAGCAGAGUUUCCUUUUAGAAGCUUAAGAAAACAAUUAGAAAUAAAAGGAGGCCAGAAAGCACAGUUAAUGAAGGGGCCCGAGAAGCAAAGGCGAUGGGGAAAUUCACCCGCUUCACGAACACUUUUGCAAGGGCGAGACGGAGGGACCGCACCCAGAGCUCUUCUGACCUUGCCCUUGACUCACUGGGCUCUCACAGCUCACAUCCGCCCUCCGGGUGAGCUUAAAGUCGCCGCUCCAUGGAAAUGUUUGUUCUGCCUCUGGAGCAGAAGACACCGCUUCUGGUGGCCCUGGUGGCCCUGUCUCUGGGGCUCUGAGGUCCUGCCAGGCCAGGAGGAGGCUCUCUUCUUGUCUCACGAGCAGGAUUCGUCCAUGUGUUUGUGGCUGUGGCUUUCAUGGCUGUGCCAAGCGUGGCCUCCAGAGGCUGGCAGACACCCUGGUGUCCUGGCCAGCUCCAUGUUGUUGGGCAACGUGUAGCCUCUAAAGCCUUAUACGAGUCCUCCACGCAUUACCCAUCGCCCAGAUCUUGGCUCCUGGCUUCCCAAGGCCAACCCUGUCUUCUGAUUGCUCUGCUCUUGGAUCCUGGCAUCUAGUUAUGUCAACAAAG